rnacentral:rRNA from 1 species
CCUACGGGAGGCAGCAGUGGGGAAUAUUGCACAAUGGGGGAAACCCUGAUGCAGCGACGCCGCGUGAGUGAAGAAGUAAUUCGUUAUGUAAAGCUCUAUCAGCAGGGAAGAAAAUGACGGUACCUGAGUAAGAAGCCCCGGCUAACUACGUGCCAGCAGCCGCGGUAAUACGUCGGGGGCAAGCGUUAUCCGGAUUUACUGGGUGUAAAGGGAGCGUAGACGGCAGUGCAAGUCUGGAGUGAAAGGCGGGGGCUCAACCCCCGGACUGCAUGUGAAACUGUAAGGCUGGAGUGCAGGAGAGGUAAGUGGAAUUCCUAGUGUAGCGGUGAAAUGCGUAGAUAUUAGGAGGAACACCAGUGGCGAAGGCGGCUUGCUGGGUCGAUACUGACAUUGAGGCACGAAAGCGUGGGGAGCAAACAGGAUUAGAUACCCGAGUAGUC